UGAACGCUGGCGGCGUGCUUAACACAUGCAAGUCGAACGAUGAAGCCUAGCUUGCUAGGUGGAUUAGUGGCGCACGGGUGAGUAAUAUAUAGAUAACGUGCCUCUUAGUCUGGGAUAGCCAUUGGAAACGAUGAUUAAUACUAGAUACUCCUUCUGAUUCUAAUUUCAGUCGGGAAAGUUUUUCGCUAAGAGAUCGGUCUAUAUCCCAUCAGUUAGUUGGUAAGGUAACGGCUUACCAAGGCAAUGACGGGUAGCGGGUUUGAGAGGAUGAUCCGCCACACUGGUACUGAGACACGGACCAGACUCCUACGGGAGGCAGCAGUGAGGAAUAUUGCACAAUGGGGGAAACCCUGAUGCAGCAACGCCGCGUGGAGGAUGACGCAUUUCGGUGUGUAAACUCCUUUUAUGAGUCAAGAAAAUGACGGUAGCUCAUGAAUAAGCACCGGCUAACUCC
rnacentral:rRNA from 1 species